UGGGAACCAACAUAUCGAGUCUAUCAGCCGGCGAAAUGACAUCAUAGGAGCUGAGAACUUGGACCGUUUGGGCUUCUAGCUAUCUGCUCUUACAUUCUGCCGCAUUUCACAUUCCCGUGGAUGUUCAGCCUACAAAACUGUGCAACGGUGAUUGGACAUGAAUCCUCGUUUCCCAGGAGAAGAGGAGAAACGAGUGCCUUCCAGUUAUGAGGAGCCAAGAGGGGCGAUGUUCUCCACUGGAGGAAUUCACUCGGAUUCAACAGGAACGCCAGGAGACGCUCGGCGGUCACAGUCCUUUGCAGUUUACAGAAUGCUUUUCUGUCCUUGUCUGUUUAUAUGUCUACCACUAUAAUAGAGAAAUGAACAGACUGCUGUGGGAAACCAGACAACCGGGGCUGACCAUCUGGAGGGAUCAGAGAAGACUUCACAGAGGAAGCAACGUGUUAGCUGGGUCUUAAAG
rnacentral:lncRNA from 1 species